AUGCCGACGCCGGCGCACCUGAGCAAGGACCCGCGCUACUUCGACUUCCGGGCGGCGCGGCGGGUGCCGGAGACGCACGCGUGGCCCGGGCUGCACGACCACCCCGUGGUGGACGGCAGCGGCGCGGGCGGAGGGCCGGACGCGGUGCCGGUGGUGGACAUGCGCGACCCGUGCGCGGCGGAGGCGGUGGCGCUGGCGGCGCAGGACUGGGGCGCCUUCCUCCUGGAGGGCCACGGCGUCCCGUUGGAGCUGCUGGCGCGCGUGGAGGCCGCGAUCGCGGGCAUGUUCGCGCUGCCGGCGUCGGAGAAGAUGCGCGCCGUGCGGCGGCCCGGCGACUCGUGCGGCUACGGGUCGCCGCCCAUCUCCUCCUUCUUCUCCAAGUGCAUGUGGUCCGAGGGCUACACCUUCUCCCCGGCCAACCUCCGCUCCGACCUCCGCAAGCUCUGGCCCAAGGCCGGCCACGACUACCGCCACUUCUGCGCCGUGAUGGAGGAGUUCCACAGGGAGAUGCGCGCGCUGGCCGACAAGCUGCUGGAGCUGUUCCUGGUGGCCCUCGGGCUCACCGGCGAGCAGGUCGCCGCCGUCGAGUCCGAGCAGAAGAUCGCCGAGACCAUGACCGCCACAAUGCACCUCAACUGGUACCCCAAGUGCCCGGACCCGAAGCGGGCGCUGGGCCUGAUCGCGCACACGGACUCGGGCUUCUUCACCUUCGUGCUGCAGAGCCUUGUGCCCGGGCUGCAGCUGUUCCGGCACGGCCCCGACCGGUGGGUGACGGUGCCCGCCGUGCCGGGGGCCAUGGUCGUCAACGUCGGCGACCUCUUCCAGAUCCUCACCAACGGCCGCUUCCACAGCGUCUACCACCGCGCCGUCGUCAACCGCGACAGCGACCGGAUAUCGCUCGGCUACUUCCUCGGCCCGCCCGCCCACGUCAAGGUGGCGCCGCUCAGGGAGGCCCUGGCCGGCACGCCCGCCGCCUACCGCGCCGUCACGUGGCCCGAGUACAUGGGCGUGCGCAAGAAGGCCUUCACCACCGGCGCCUCCGCGCUCAAGAUGGUCGCCAUCUCCACUGACAACGACGCCGCCAACCACACGGACGACCUGAUCUCGUCGUAG
rnacentral:rRNA from 1 species